rnacentral:sRNA from 1 species
UUUAACCUAAACGAUAUAAGCCCUACCUCUCCUAUAUCCUUACGACUCCGUAGUCGAUCCAGUGUGAAUAAGUCUUGCUAUCGUAUG